GGGCCCGCACAAGCGGUGGAGCAUGUGGUUUAAUUCGAUGAUACGCGAGGAACCUUACCUGGGCUUAAAUGGGAAACGACCGGUCUGGAAACAGACCUUUCUUCGGACGGUUCUCAAGGUGCUGCAUGGUUGUCGUCAGCUCGUGCUGUGAGGUGUCGGGUUAAGUCCCAUAACGAGCGCAACCCCUAUCUUUAGUUGCCAGCGAGUAAUGUCGGGGACUCUAGAGAAACUGCCGGUGUAAACCGUGAGGAAGGUGGGGAUGACGUCAAAUCAUCACGGCCCUUACGUCCAGGGCCACACACGUGCUACAAUGGCGGAUACAAAGGGCAGCUACUAGGUGACUAGAUGCUAAUCUCUAAAGUCCGUCUCAGUUCGGAUCGAAGUCUGCAACUCGACUUCGUGAAGCUGGAAUCGCUAGUAAUCGCGCAUCAGCCAUGGCGCGGUGAAUACGUUCCCGGGCCUU
rnacentral:rRNA from 1 species